UCCUGAAGUCCACGAUCAUCUCCUUUGUUUGGGUUUAGAUAAAACUAUGUUAAAUAUAUUCAUGUCACCAAAUAUUGAUUAAAUUACACUUUUUUACAAUGAAGGUCAACAGUAACUUCAACAGCACUGUCUGGGGUAGCACCAUGGUGCAGCCGGAGGACAGCUAGCUUCCGUCCUCCUCUGGCUACAUUGACUUGACUACUAAACCUAGGAGGCUCGUAGGCCUCACCCCCUUCCAUAGACAUUCAUGGUAAUUAUGACCACUUCCGGAGAACAUCCUCCAACCAAUCAAAGCUUUUGCAGUAUGAACUGACAUGUUGUCCAACCAAUCAGAGCAUUUGGACCAGAGAAUGAACCUAUUGUUGUGUUGGGAUUGUGCCACAGAACAUUUUGGGGGUUCUAUUGUUGAGAACCUUGGUGACAUUGUUGGAUAGACAUGACAAAUAAAAAGUGAUAAAUCAGUUGUAAAAAGGAUUUAUAUGGGCUUUGAUGGGACCAGUUUUUCCUAAUCAAGUUUUAAAAUAUAUAUAUUUUUAAUUAAAUAUAUUAUUCAAUUCAAAUGUGUUUGUUUUUUCAAAUUACAGGAGACUGUUUGUUGUUUCCUUGAUUUCAUAACUUAAUUUUUGUGUCCAGUUAGUGCAAUUUAUUUCAAUGUACCUUGCUAACUUCAGUAGCGAGCUAGCUACCAGCGCGAGGGUCCAGUUUUCUGUGUCAGAAGGGCCAACGCAGAAGAAAAAGUUGUGGACACGGUGUACACGGAAAAGGUGCGUAUUAAAAGCAAGGGUCGACUUCUACCUGAGAUCAGUUUCAUGGAGAAGGAUGAAAAGGUGAGAGCGUUCAGUACCACCUGACGUCAAAAGUAUAGCUGGUUAACGGGGAGCUUUUCAUCAAGCCGCCUGUAUUGCUGGCCUGCUGGUCUGCGUUUUUGGGCAUGCAAUCAUUUGCUUUUAGAGGACACGACGAGAUGGAAAGUUCCGCCGACAAGCGCAACAACAAGCAGCUUGCAGCGGUAAUUGCACGUUACGAUGCUUUACUUGCUUAACAUACCGAACUUUCGACUGUCUUUUAUGGGAUGUCGAAAAGAAUUCCGAAUGAUGUGAUUGCUUCCAUCGCAUCAUCCAUUAAACGAUUAUCGAGAGAGUUUGACGCAGCGUGCGCUCAAAUUGGCUUUCCACUUUCCUCCGGUAUUUAUUUAGCAAAGAUAAUAACACAUAAUCACUCCGGGCAGACACAAGCAAAAACGAAUUAUAUAAAUGUUGUAGCAGCCUAGGCUACACCUAAACAUUAGAAAUCUGACAUGCUGUAUGGGAUGAAAACGAGACUAUUUUUCAGUCUCAUCAAACUGUAGUCUACUAUUAAGAGCAGCUGCAUACAGCCUAUGCGCCCUGUCAAUCUGGUCAGGAUAAACUAAUUGGUAACGUUAUGUAUUUAUUAUAGUCCAUUUGUGUGUCAGGAGAAAAUGUAAUUGUGAUCAAAUUGAGUUUAUAUUCAAAAUUGGGCUGGCUAGGAUGCCUAUACGUUUUUAAUCCAUAAUGCUUAACUGGAAUUAAUGAAUCAACAUAAUAGUGAUGACGGUUGUGAGCAAAUGUUUUGUAAGGCCUACAGUUGCUUAGGCCUGCAUGAUGAAAACAUGCAUAAAGCAAGCUCAGCCCUGUGAGUUAUAUUGUCUAUCAGUUGUUUUCUAUGUGUCUAGGUAGAGGAAAUCCCCCUCCUAAUCUAGACUAAAUAUAAUUUAUAUGAACAAAUUUAAGGUAGCUGCAGUUUGACAGGGUUUUCACCCCCACUGGUCCAGGAGUUUGUUUCAGGAGUUAAAAAAAAAAACUUGAUUAGGAAAAACUGAUGUCAUCAUAGCCCAUAUAAAACCCCUUUACAACUGAUUAAUCACUGUACCUUAUAGGGUCCAGAGUUUUCCUAUUUAGGUUAUCAUAUAAGGGACAAUUUUCCCCACCGCUCUGGGACCUAUGGUGCCACCAGUCUGCUUGCAGUUAUCAGUUGUCAUUAGGCAUGUGAAUGAUCAGGGCUUUAUUCAGGAACGUUUCUUGGGUUACUUUGAUGUGUCAAGUGGACGAGAUGCGCAGUCUGUGUUUGACUUCAUAGUUGUCCAAACCUACGAUGGUGCAGCUGUAAUGGAAUGUAUCUGCUAUUUGACUACUCCACUCCACUACCUUUGUCAACUUUCUCCUGACAUGAACUGAAGCCACAUCUCAUAUGCCCAACUCAUCCACUGGCACAUUGGAUGUUUCCCCUCCUAGCACUCCUCUGAACAACUCAACUCAUGCCUCAUACCCUCAUUCAAUCACUGCUGUGAUCCCUUUCCAACACUAUGGCCAAGGAAGUUGCACAGAACUUCCCCAACAUCCCCUCCCAAACUGAUAUGGAACCUUCAAAAAUACAUGGAGAUAACUGCGAAAAGAAAUGUCUGAGGAUAUACUAAAAAUGUCUGAGUUCAACAAAGCCAACAACUACUUCAUGUGUGCCACUGAUAAAGAACCUGGAUGUGGCCCAAAGACUGACUGGGAAUGAAGACAAAGGAGUUCAGCAGAGUAAAGAACUGGAAGUGCAGUCUUUGUUGUUGAUAAUGUAUGCCAUUCCCCAUCCACACUGAAGAGGCUCUGAAAGAUUAUUUCUCCUGAGUAAAAGUACGUUAUUUUACUCAGUUCUGUGUCCUGCGCCUGACUCCGUUCUCACCUCUGCACAGCUAACACAUGACAGAAUCAAGCACCAUUUUAAUGGAGUCAGCAGGUGCACCCAGUCCUCCGGUACCAGUAGAAGAACGUGUCCAGCAGCACGCGACGAUGCCCCAACAUCUUGGCCCAGCCAUGGAUCGCAUGCUGCUCACCCAUGGAGCGAUGGGGAUAAAGGGGGUUUUCCCCACAACCCCAUCAACUUCACUCCAACCAACACCACAACCCACACCGCUGUCCACCCCUCCGUCAUCUGGACCCAGUGGGAUUCGGCUCUCGUCCCCGAGCGCAUAUGAUGGGACGGCUGCCGGGUGCCAGGGGUUCCUGUUCCAGUUGGAGCUCUACCAUGGCGACCGUCCACCCGACUCCCUCGGGAAACGAGAGCGUGUCCGCCGUCAUCUCCUGUCUGUCAGGGAAAGCACUUGAGUGGGCAUAGACUCAGCGUUGGUCCGCUAUGAGGAUUUCACCCGCCGCUUCCGAGCGGUCUUCGAUCAUCCACCUGAGGGGAGAGCGGCGGGGGAACGCUUGUUCCAUCUCAGACAGGGGAUGAGGAUCACACAGGAAUUCGCACUGGACUUCCUGGCUGCCAGCGCGGGAUGGAAUGAGAGGGCCCUGAAAGACCAUUACCGAUUUAGUCUACUUGAGGACGUUCGUCGGGAGCUGGCCUGCAGGGACACCACCCUUACCCUCGACCAGCUGGUGGAUUUAUCCAUCCGGCUGGAUAACCUGUUGGCCACCCGCGGACGUCUGGACCGGGGUGCGUCCAUUCCAUCCCCCAGCACCUCCGAUCCUACACUUAUGGAGCUGGGAGGUGCUGCUCUAAGGAUGACCGGAGGAGGGGGCUGUUUCUUGCACUACCUGUGACUGCAGAGGACACACUGCUGGUCGGUGCUGGAGAGGUUCCCCAGGAUGUCGAGGCAGCAGGCAGGGCACUGGUGGAUCAUCCCAGGUGAGUAUGCACCCAACUCACCCAGAGCUUCCUGUUGCGCACAUGUGUAUAUCUAUAGAAUUUCCUGAGAUUUCCCAGCAUAAGGCGCUAGUAGAUUCAGGCUCAGCUGGGAAUUUUAUUGACAGGUCGUUUGCUCUUAGAUUAGGGAUCCCUAUUGUUCCUGUUGAUAUGCGCUUCACUGUACAUUCCUUAGAUAGCUGUCCUUUAGGGUCGGGCCUGAUUAGGGAGGUCACAGCUCCAUUAUGUAUGAUAAUGCAGGAGGGCCAUAAGGAGAGAAUUAGUGUCUUCCUGAUCAAUUCUCCUCCAUUUCCUGUGGUGUUGGGGCUUCCCUGGUUGGCUUAUCAUGACCCCACUAUUUUGUGGCAACAGAAGGCUCUCAAGGGAUGGUCACGUCAAUGUUCAGGGAGAUAUAUAGGUGUUUCCAUAGGUGUAACUACGGUGGAGAGUCCAGGUCUCCACCAUGCACAUCCCCUCUGAAUAUGCCGAUUUAGCACCCCAUCGAUGGGGGGGGGUUGUGUGAUAAAUCUCCUGGCAGACGCAGCACUUCCCAGGAGUCAGGUGCAUCCUCUGUCACAGGAGAAGACGGCGGCUAUGGAAACCUAUGUCACCAAAUCUCUGGGACAGGGAUACAUUUUCCUUUAUGGUUGAUAUUAACAACAAAAUGAGAUAUCUGUCUCUCUCACUGUUAAAUACUGUGGAAAAAUAAAAAACUAUGAAAAUAGGUACUUAGACCUACCAAUUAUUGUAGAUAAAUAUUAAAGAAAAGGGUAAACACAACACUGGACUGAACCCCCUAAUUGUAAAACUAAUAUUAAUGUACAACAAUAUAGAAGAUACAUGACUAGAGGUUAUGCAAUAUGGGUGUAUAUCCACUGCAUGCUUCUUAGGUGUGUAUUUGACAUGACCAAGGAGCUAUUGUAAAUUUGAAACUAUGAAAAAUAUACGUGACACCUCAUGAUUUUACAGUACAAACAAGAUUGUGCAAUAUAGAAGGGUUGUCAGCAGACAUUAGGUCACAUGACCAAGGAGCUAUUGAAAUUUUACAUGCAAAAAUAAGUUAAAAAAUCCAUUUAAAACCAUGUGAGACAAACUAAAGGGUCCGCAAUGUGUAGAGCCACUUCGUGGACAUUCUGAACCUUGUUUGAAGUCACCAGGUCACAUGACCAAGGAGCUAUUGAAAUUCUACAUUUGGAAAAAUUAAUGUAAAACUAUGCGAGAUAAAAAUGGACAAACUAAAGGGUGUGCAAUAUAGAAGGGUAGUCAUUGGACAUUCUGAACCUUGUUUGAAGUCAUCAGGUCACAUGACCAAGGAGCUAUUGAAAUUCUACAUUGAAAAAUUAAUGUAAAACCAUGUGAGAUGAAAAUGGACAAACUAAAAGGUGUGCAAUGUGUGUCUAUGCCAUCGGGUUAGCUACAUCCAGUUUUGAAAGUGUUUGGAGUAAUGGUUAAAGAGCUAUUGAAAUAAAAAAUGUGAUUUGUCACUAUGUUGACGGUCCCUAACUGCUGUUGGUGGACGUAAGGAAAACCUGAAACUGUCUUUACCUCAGAACUUUACUGUCAAUUUGAUGGAAACAACACUUGUGGGAAAGUGCGCAAAUUAUGUUUAUACGGAUUUUCGAAUAUUCACAUGAAAAUAUGUCGCCAAUUGGAUGGAUAUUUAGUGAAUAACACCACAGUGUAACCAGAAUGUACAAAUAAAGGAACUACUUUAAAUAUUUGCCCUUCUAUUCCCAUAAACUCCAAUGGUCAGGGGGGUAGCAUACCAUUUCCCCCAACUCUCUUGCAACAAUAGCUUAACUUUGCAUAUGUUAUAUGUAGCUAAUUGUAAUAAUGUGUUAAUGGAUACAGUACAUACAUUGUAUUUCAAGAAUAUAUUCUUAAUCCGCAAAAAAAAUGAGAAAUAGGGGAUAGACCAGUAACUCUCUUUACCAUGAGUCCACUGAUUACACUCUGGGUUGGGUUUUUCAAUCAAUCAAAAUACAAACGCAACACUGAAAGGGCGAACCACCACAUUUAACCAUGGCAAGGUGACUGGGAACAUGGACGUGUACACGCAGACCAGCUAUGACCUUCGUAAGGCAAUCAAAUAGGCAAAACAACAGUACAGGGGACAAAAUGGAGGUGCAUUUCAACGGCCCAGACAGGAGACGUAUGUGGCAGGGACUCCACACAAUCACAGAUUAUAAAGUGAAAGCCAGCCAUGUAGCCGACUCCCUCGCCUGGCUCCUGGACAAGCUAAACACCUUCUUCGCCCACUUCAAGGAAAAAAACAUUGCGUGUGGUCUCGUUCUCCAUGGCUGUCGUGAGUGAAUCAUUUAUGCUCUCAAGGCUGCAGGCCAGACGAGAUCCCAAGGCGCAUCCUCAGAGCAUGUGCAGUCCAGCUGGCUGGAGUGUUCAUGGACAAUCUCUCUAUAUCCAACUGUUGUCCCCACUUUUUUCAAGAUGUUCACCAUUGUUUCUAUACCCAAGAAAGCAGGUAACUGAACUAAGUGCGUUGAGGUGCUAGUUAAGGAUCAUAUCACCUCCACCUUACCCAAGCUCAUCAUUAAGCUCAGGGCCCUGGGUCUGAACCCAACCCUGUACAACUGGGUCCUCGAUUUCCUGACUGGCCGACCCCAGGUAGUAAAGGUAGGUAACAACACCCCCGCCACGCUGAUCCUCAACAAAAAGCCCCACGGUGCGUGCUCAGCCUCCUCUUGUACUCCCUGUUCACCCAUGACUACUUGGCCACACUCAUGUCCAACUCAAUCAUCAAGUUUGCUGAUGCACAACAGUGGUUGGCCUGAUUACCAACAACGACGAGACGGCCUACAGGGAGGAGGUGAGAACCCUGGCGGAGUGGUGCCAGGAAAAUAACCUCUCCCUCAACAUGAACUAAAUGAAGGAGAUGAUCGUAGGUUACAGGAGACAGCAGAGAGAGCCCGCCCCCAUCCACAUCGACGGGGCCACAGUGGAUAGGGUCAAAAUCUUCAAGUUGCUCAGCGUGCACAUCACUGAGGACCUACGACGGUCCCUCCACACCGAUAGCAUGGUGAAGAAGGAGCAAGAGCGCCUCUUCAACCUCAGCAGGCUGAGUAAAUUCGGCGUGGCACUUAAGGCCCUCACAAACUUCUACAUAUGCUCCAUUGAGAGUAUUCUGUCGGGCUGUUGUGUUAUUAGAAUUGCUUUAUUUAACCUUUAUCUAAAUAGGCAAGUCAGUUCAGAAUAAAUUAUUAUUUACAAUGGCGGCCUAUCCCGGCCAAACCCUCCCCUAACCUGGACGACGUUGGGCCAAUUGUGCGCCACCCUAUGGACUCUUGAUCACGCCCGGUUGUGAUACAGCCCGGGAUCAAACCAGGGUCUGUAGUGACGCCUCUAGCACUGAGAUGCCACUGUGCCACUCGGGAGCCAAAAUCACCACCUGGUACGGCAACUGGACUGCCCACAACCACAGGGCUCUCCAGAGGGUGGUGCGGUCAGCCCAAUGCAUCACUUGGGGGCACACUGUCUGCCCUCUAGGACAUCUACAGCACCCGGUGUCACAGAAAGGCCAAGAACAUCAUCAAAGACCUCAGCCACCCGGGCCACAGCCUCUUCACCCCCGCUACCAUCUAGAAGGCGGAGACAGUACAGGUGCAUCAAAGCUGGGACCGAGAAACUGAUAAGCAGCUUCUAUCUCCAGGCCAUGAGACUUUUAAACAGUCGCUACUAGCCAACCUCUCCCCAGUACCCUGCCCUGAACGUUAGUCACUGUUACUGUUUUACCCACUUUACAUGUAUAUACUGUAUUCUAGUCAAGGCUCAUCCUAUAUAACUACUGCUGUACACACAUUUUCUAUUCAUACACUGUCCAUACUGUCUAUAUUUACCAUUAUAUAUGCCAAGGGCAUGCCUCCCUUGGCACGCUCUCCAUGAGUGUUACUACACAUUCUUAUUGUCUGUUUGAGUAUGUGAAUGAAAAGUAUAAACCUAGUGAUAUUUGUUCCUGAGAUCUGAUAUUGCCAUCUGUUGAAGUCUUGCCAUUGCCAUCUGUUGAAGCGUUCCUGGAGCUGAAGAUAACGUAUGGAAAUAAUUUAGGCCUAUGGCGAUUUGUGCCUGUCUUGUGACACAGAAAAUGAAAAUAAAUAGUUUUUUGCACCCUGAUAUUGUUGU